GCCAGCAGCCGCGGUAAUUCCAGCUCCAACAGUGUAUAUUAAAGUUGUUGCGGUUAAAAAGCUCGUAGUUGGGAGUCUGCCAAGGACAACCGGUCCACCCUUGGGGUGCGUAUCUGGUUUGACCGGGGGCAUCUUCUUGGGCAGCGUAUUUGCACUUGAUUGUGUGAUGCGAUAUCCAAGACUUUUACUUUGAGGAAAUUAGCGUGUUUCAUGCAGGCCCACGCCUUGGAUACCUUAGCAUGGAAUAAUAAGAUAGGGCCUCGGUUCCAUUUUGUUGGCUUCUAGAAUUGAGUUAAUGACAAAUAGGGAUACUUGGGGGCAUGCGAAUUUGAUUGUCAGAGGUGAAAUUCUUGAAUUUGUCAAAGACGGACUACUGUGAAAGCAUUUGCCAAGAAUGUUCUCAUUGAUCAAGAAUGAAAGUUAGGGGGUCGAAGAUGAUCAGAUACCGUCUUAGUCUUAACCAUAAACUAUGCCAACUAGAGAUUGGGGGCUGCUGUCUUUACGACUCCUUCAGCACCUUCUGGGAAAUCAAAGUCUUUGGGUUCCGGGGGGAGUAUGGUUGCAAGGCUGAAACUUAAAGGAAUUGACGGAA
rnacentral:rRNA from 1 species